rnacentral:rRNA from 1 species
UACAUGGGCUCCAAGCGUUAUCCGGAUUUAUUGGGCGUAAAGAGCGUGUAGGCGGCCUAGUAGGUCAGCUGUGAAAACUCGAGGCUCAACCUCGAGCUGUCGGUUGAAACCACUAGGCUAGAGUCCGGAAGAGGAGAAUGGAAUUCCCGGUGUAGCGGUGAAAUGCGCAGAUAUCGGGAAGAACACCCGUGGCGAAGGCGGUUCUCUGGGACGGUACUGACGCUGAGACGCGAAAGCGUGGGGAGCGAACAGG